GGGUCUAAUCCUGUAGUGUACACUGAUUAUCUGCCAGGUUUCUCAGAAUGAUCAGGGAAAGUUGAAAACAGAACCACUUAAUUCAUUUAAAGAUCAAAAGGGUGUGCAUAUGAUAUGAUUUCAUUAAGAAUUAAAUAAUCCACAUGAUUUCAAGGUUAAUGAGAAAAAACUACCCAACAUAUCUGCUUAAAAUUCCCAGAAGGCAUUUGAAUGAGGAAUAAAGGCCUUUAAGAACAGACUCUACUAGGUUUAAUAAGAAGUGAUUUCCCCUAAUUGCAAUUUCCUUGAAAAAGAUAUUCAAGGCCUCAGAGUUUGACAGAUUGUAGCAAAGAACUGGUGUAGGAUGUUCAACUGGACAAAAAAAUGGGAGUUUUGAAUUCAGCAAGCUCUACGAUCUCUUGAAUAGAACCUACCAAUUUUACUCUGUGCAGUGCAGGCCCUCGAAAAUAUCAAAUAAAGUUGAAGAGCAAAAUGUGUAGAAAUUACUUAAUUUGUUGAUUACAAUGGUUUUUCCCAUUAGGUCUAUUACUCAAGAACGAGGUUAAUGACCUUGCAGGAGUCAGGAAGAAGCAAGAGACACUUCAGGGAGCUCAGAAUACAAAGCCUGAGGAUGAGAAGAGCAUGAUAAGAGAGCCGCACUCAGCUCAAAGGUGGAGACAUCAUGACAAGGUGAUCUCAGGAGCAAACACGGGGAUUCUGCACUCACUAUGAAGACGCUGAGGUUAAGAAACAAGUAACUGCUAUGAGAUCAUAAAGAAAACGCAUAAGUGGUAGAAACAAUUAGAAAAGAGAUGCUUUGAUUUUAAGUUGCAAGUGCUCUUCAUUCCACAAAGAUACUGGAAAUGGCUUGAAGCAGGGUCCAUGGAGUAUCUUCUCUAAACUCUCCACAGCACCUUAUAAUGCUCCUAAUGCAUAAUGAAACUUAAAUAAAUCUUACUGAAUUAAAAAGAAAGAAAAAACAUGAGAGGAAGUCAUCGAGAAUGGAGAGAGGGAGAGAAACAGAAAUAGAAGAAAGAUUAUAAAGAUGAAAAGGACAAGAAGAACAGUCCAUAUUUAUAAAAUAUUUUAGAAGAAAAAUAAAAUUUCCUUCUACGUGCUGUCAGGACAUGCUUUUUAAUUUGUGGAAGUCACACACUGCAGAUGUUGCCUUCCGGGUUGCUGGUCGGAUCACCAUGACAAAGGCGCUGCCUCAUCUAUAAAUAGACAGUCAGAUUGAUUUCACAUCCUGCCCUGGUUCUUCCGACUGCCUGAUGGGCGUGACAGCACAAUCGAUGAGUGAUCCCAUCCACUCUGACUGCACAGGCCUCGCCUGCACUGUCUUCUGGAAG
rnacentral:lncRNA from 1 species